GAUGAACGCUGGCGGCGUGCCUAAUACAUGCAAGUCGAGCGAACAGACGAGGAGCUUGCUCCUCUGACGUUAGCGGCGGACGGGUGAGUAACACGUGGAUAACCUACCUAUAAGACUGGGAUAACUUCGGGAAACCGGAGCUAAUACCGGAUAAUAUAUUGAACCGCAUGGUUCAAUAGUGAAAGACGGUUUUGCUGUCACUUAUAGAUGGAUCCGCGCCGCAUUAGCUAGUUGGUAAGGUAACGGCUUACCAAGGCAACGAUGCGUAGCCGACCUGAGAGGGUGAUCGGCCACACUGGAACUGAGACACGGUCCAGACUCCUACGGGAGGCAGCAGUAGGGAAUCUUCCGCAAUGGGCGAAAGCUUGACGGAGCAACGCCGCGUGAGUAAUGAAGGUCUUCGGAUCGUAAAACUCUGUUAUUAGGGAAGAACAAAUGUGUAAGUAAAUAUGCACGUCUUGACGGUACCUAAUCAGAAAGCCACGGCUAACUACGUG
rnacentral:rRNA from 1 species